rnacentral:rRNA from 1 species
ACGCACGCUGGCGGCGUGCCUAAUACAUGCAAGUUGAGCGCUGAAGGUUGGUACUUGUACCAACUGGAUGAGCAGCGAACGGGUGAGUAACGCGUGGGGAAUCUGCCUUUGAGCGGGGGACAACAUUUGGAAACGAAUGCUAAUACCGCAUAAAAACUUUAAACACAAGUUUUAAGUUUGAAAGAUGCAAUUGCAUCACUCAAAGAUGAUCCCGCGUUGUAUUAGCUAGUUGGUGAGGUAAAGGCUCACCAGGGCGAUGAUACAUAGCCGACCUGAGAGGGUGAUCGGCCACAUUGGGACUGAGACACGGCCCAAACUCCUACGGGAGGCAGCAGUAGGGAAUCUUCGGCAAUGGACGAAAGUCUGACCGAGCAACGCCGCGUGAGUGAAGAAGGUUUUCGGAUCGUAAAACUCUGUUGGUAGAGAAGAACGUUGGUGAGAGUGGAAAGCUCAUCAAGUGACGGUAACUACCCAGAAAGGGACGGCUAACUACGUG